AUGAACGCUGGCGGCGUGCCUAACACAUGCAAGUCGAACGAAGCUUGACGGAUGAUUUCUUCGGAAUGAAACCAGAUAUGACUUAGUGGCGGACGGGUGAGUAACACGUGAGCAACCUGCCUUUCAGAGGGGGAUAACGGCUGGAAACGGUCGCUAAUACCGCAUGAUGUGUUCGGAUGGCAUCAUCUGAACAUCAAAGAUUUAUCGCUGAAAGAUGGGCUCGCGUCUGAUUAGAUAGUUGGUGGGGUAACGGCCUACCAAGUCUACGAUCAGUAGCCGGACUGAGAGGUUGAACGGCCACAUUGGGACUGAGAUACGGCCCAGACUCCUACGGGAGGCAGCAGUGGGGAAUAUUGCACAAUGGGGGAAACCCUGAUGCAGCAACGCCGCGUGAAGGAUGACGGUUUUCGGAUUGUAAACUUCCUUUCUUAGUGACGAAGACAGUGACGGUAGCUAAGGAAUAAGCAUCGGCUAACUACGUG
rnacentral:rRNA from 1 species